rnacentral:rRNA from 1 species
GAUGAACGCUAGCUACAGGCUUAACACAUGCAAGUCGUGGGGCAGCAUGAAGGAAGCUUGCUUCCUUUGAUGGCGACCGGCGCACGGGUGAGUAACGCGUAUCCAACCUUCCCCUUACUAGAGGAUAGCCCGGCGAAAGUCGGAUUAAUACUCUAUGUUCUCCUUUGCAGGCAUCUAACGAGGAGCAAAGAUUCAUCGGUAAGGGAUGGGGAUGCGUCUGAUUAGCUUGCCGGCGGGGUAACGGCCCACCGGGGCAACGAUCAGUAGGGGUUCUGAGAGGAAGGUCCCCCACAUUGGUACUGAGACACGGACCAAACUCC